UAUAGAUUUAUAAACGAAUUAUCCCUCUGUAAUAUCGAUAUGUAAUAUUGGCGCGUUUAGACGGAAAGUUUGCCAAGGAUUGAUCCGUAUAUAAGACCGUAUGUAACUGGAAGACAUAUUUAUCUACUGAUUUUAAAUACGGAUAUGGAGAUAAUAAUUAAUUAAAAAAUAAAAACAAGUAAUAUAGAAUAUGAUUUUGGAAAUGUUCUCGCACUCUUCUUCCUCGAGCCAGCUUUCUCCCCCUUUCUCGAGCCCUAGUUUCCCCCUCUGUCGAGCCCUACUUUCUGACUACAACCAUCCAUCACCAUGAUUCUCCCUCUCUACAACCAUGAUUCUCCCUCUCUGAUUCACACUCGUUCUCGUCAACCCAUUAUUCUCCCUCGUCGGGCCUUCUUCUCCCUCGACGAACCUUCUUCUACCUCGUCUAGCCAUUCUGUGUUAGUGGAAUUGUAUUUGUGUUCAGCCGAAGAACAAUUCUCCAUCAUUGGAACCCUAGUGUUGUUUUCCAUCAUUUGAACCCUAGUUCUACUCCUACUAGAACCGUCAUUGUGUGGU
rnacentral:lncRNA from 1 species